rnacentral:misc_RNA from 1 species
CCCUGAGUUACGCUUGCAAGAUGCAAAGCCUAAUUUCUUUCCACGGCGUAAACCAAUCCCUGCCAAUGCCAAAAGGGUCAAGUCUGUAGCAGCCACAACAUUACUGACUUGUCGUACAGUUGCACCUUUUCUUCCAUGAUCAUAAAACCACUCGAAGAUUCCCUUAUCAUAAGCUAGUUUCCAAAUGACGCCAUGUCCACCUGGCUUUGAAACAGGUGUGAAUGGUUUUGUUAUCAACCAUUGCCCAUCUUCUGCACCAACAGCAGGAACAAGAGGCUGCUCAAAGAGUUGGAAAUUGGAUCGACCUCUUCCAAACCAGCUGAGCCUUUCACAAAGAUAAGUGAUACGCUCGUGGUUAUUCUUAGCUGAACUUGUCAUGAUUGCAACAGGGGUGAUGCAUUGUUUUCCAUACAGCUUGUAGUACAAGAACUCCCUAGCCUGAAGAUCUCUUAUAAGGCCUUCCAAUAAAGUCCGUCCACAA